rnacentral:rRNA from 1 species
UGAAGAAGGCCUUCGGGUUGUAAAGCUCUUUCGGCCGGAACGAAACGGUUACGGAUAAUACCCGUGACUAAUGACGGUACCGGAGUAAGAAGCACCGGCUAACUACGUGC